rnacentral:rRNA from 1 species
UGGGGAAUCUUGCGCAAUGGGCGAAAGCCUGACGCAGCCAUGCCGCGUGAAUGAUGAAGGUCUUAGGAUUGUAAAAUUCUUUCCCCGGGGACGAUAAUGACGGUACCCGGAGAAGAAGCCUCGGCUAACUUCGUGCCAGCAGCCGCGGUAAUACGAAGGGGGCUAGCGUUGCUCGGAAUUACUGGGCGUAAAGGGCGCGUAGGCGGACAGUUUAGUCAGAGGUGAAAGCCCAGGGCUCAACCUUGGAAUUGCCUUUGAUACUGACUGUCUUGAGUACGGGAGAGGUGUGUGGAACUCCGAGUGUAGAGGUGAAAUUCGUAGAUAUUCGGAAGAACACCAGUGGCGAAGGCGACACACUGGCCCGUUACUGACGCUGAGGCGCGAAAGCGUGGGGAGCAAACA